rnacentral:tRNA from 1 species
UGGCUCAGUGGUAGAGUGCUUACCUAGCAUGUGAGAGGCACUGGGUUCAAUUCUCAG